GGUUACUCAAAUGCAUGUGCUUGUUUUGUUCUUUACCUACAACGUGUCGUUUAAAAAAGAAAAAUACUUACCUGUAUUUAAACAGUAAGCAAAGGUUGAUGCUAGUGACUGGAAAUGUCUAAAUGUGCUUCAUUAUAACCACAUACACAGCCUAGGAGUAUAUCAUUACUGAAACUAAGAACACUGAAGAAUAAAGAUUUUCAAGGAAUGCAAAUUUCAUUUCUCCAUCUGCCACAUUCACAGGAGGAAAUGGAAUAAGAGUGCAUUAACGUUUCAAGCUCAGGUUCAAGACAGUACUUUGAAAAAAGGAAUAACAGCAAGUAGUAAAUUCAAGACAAUUAGAGCAUCCAUUAUUUUACAAUCUCUGAAAACAAUCAGUUGGGUCAGAUUUUUUAAGAUUAUUUAAAGAAACAGACAACAAAUCAAAUGAUGGUGCUUCCGUAAUCAAAUAAUAAGAUCAGCAAAGCAAAAACACAGGAUAGAUACGCCUACCACCACAAACCUCGAAGAAGGGCGUCAACGUUUCUCCCUAGCUCUACUCAAGCCUGGUCAUUCUGGAAUAACAUGUUUCUGCCAUCUGCCCAUUUGUGAGUGACUUGUAGAAACUGACAUCUAAAAUAACUUGAUGGGCGUAAUUAAACCUUACCAGUCUUGGCUGCUUUCUCAAAUAUCAUAAUAAAAGGGUGAAAUUAUAUACUAGACAUAGUUGUUUUCCAAAGUGGGAAACAUAAAAAUUUAGGGAGACAAAGUAUAAUGUUAUGAGAACAGUGUUUUUACUGAGUAAGCCAAUGAAUGUGGUGUUGCUAAGACAUUUUUCCUCAUGCCCUGCUGUUGGGAGUUGCCCCUUCUCUCUGCUUUAUUCCUCCUCCACUUUCCUUACUCACUCAUUAUCAAAUACACUCAUCUUGUUUAACUAACAUGGUACUUAACCUCCGUUUGAUGUUGGGAGCGUAGGGCUGCUGAAAUUACAACCAGAAGGAUAUGAGAGAGCAUAAGAGAAAUAGGCAGAGAGGAAAAAUAGAAAUUUCAUGUUUAAGUCUCAUAAUGACCAAAACAUAGUUUAAGUUCAAAGUGUGAAUCUAUUUCUGGACAGAGAAAGCCAAACCAACAGUAGAUAUUUUAACUCUGUAAAACUGGAGAUGUGGACAGCGGUUUAUAAGUUGACCAUUUAUUUUAGGAUUUUAGCAUAGUUGUAUAUUAACAGAGUCCACUGACCACUUACCAAUACCAAAUUUCCAUCUAAGCAUCUCUCCUAAAAUCAUGGAAGUUAAAAUUAAAUCCAGUAAGAUGAAUUUUAAUUGGAAUGCAUUUUGUACUUACUAUGGGAUUUUCAGAUUCCCCCAUACCAAAAUUUUUUUCUUUUAAAAAAGGUUCAUGAUGAUUCUGAUGGUACCCUUACAAAUCAGUACCCUUAUAGUUGCCCAGAAGAGACAUGCAUGGAUUACUUUAAGACUUGGAGAUUAUUAAAAGAACACAUUUAAAAAAAAUGUCAUCUGUUACAGUCUUUCUAAGCCAUAGGGUUGGGAUACACAGUUGUGCUUCAUGGAAAAAACAGAACAAUUGUUCACAUGUUUGUGGAAAGAACCUGAGCUCAAUUGGCACACCUUUUUCAUUUAUCCAAAAUUUAUUUUUCCCAAAUGAAAGCAGGGCCUGUAAUCUGCCAUUCAAUAAGGAGCACUUCUAUUAGCCAGGAAUUUAUCAUAAGCCACUUCACAUGCCUCCCCUGUUUUCAGCCCAUGUGUGACUGACUUUGACUUGAAUUCCAUGAACUAGUUUAACUGGUGCUCUUUGGUUACACACAAAAGUACGUUAUAUCCAGCUGAUGCCGUAAGAAGUCUUGCUUGUCUGGCACACCCCGAUCACAGGAAAGAUGGUGGUUUAAGGCCUGAAAUUAAGAGGAACUAGAACUCAGAGGAACCAGGAUUCUCUAGCUUUCUCUUUUCUGUGAUUCUCUGCACACCAGGUUUUUCCUUGAGGUUGAAACUCUGACUACCAUUAUCAUACAUCUUUCUAGUUCCACUGCCAAAGAAAAAUGUACUUCCCCCAGUUGUGAAUAAAAAACAAAAUUUCAGGUAAUCUCAAGGAAAUACUCUCAUUGAUUGGCCUGGGCCAUGUGACUGUUCUCUUGGCCAGAUAGUCAAGGAGCUAGAGUGGCAAAUCCAAUGAGAUCUCCGUGGUUAGCGUGAAGGGAAAAAGAAGUUCUCAACAGGAAAGAGUGAAUGCUAAGCAGAUAAAGCAAUAGCUGUCUAAUUACUUGCGGGAAAGGCUUGCUGUUAAUAAAUGUAAUGUGAUGUAAGCGAUAGCAAUCUGUAUAAUCAAUAUGGCAGCUGUAGAGGAGGCAAGUACCUGAGACUUACGCAUCCAUGAUACAGCCUGUUCAGAAUUUAGACCAAAUUCCCUUCACUCAACAGACGAAGAGAUAGACCCCGGAAAAAUAAAACAUAAUCCACAUACACGAAUGUGGCACAUAAGUGUCUUUGUCCAUUCAAGCUGCUAUAACAAAAAUGCCACAGACUGGUCGCUUAAGCAACAAACUUUUAUUUCUCACUGUUCAGGAGGCUGAGAAGUCCAAAAUCAAGACUCUGGAAGAUUUAGCGCUUUCUGAGGACCUACUUACAUUGUCCUUAAAUGGCAGAAGGGGCAAGGAGCCCUCUGAGGUCUCUUUUAUAAGGUCACUAAUCCCACGCAGGAGGCCUCCACCUUUCUGACCUAAUCAUUUACCAAAGGCUCCACUUCCAAAUACCAUCACUUUGGAGAUUAGGUUUCAACAUAUGAAUUUUGAGAGGGCACAAACAUUCAGUGAAUAGCAAACAGUUAAAAAUAAAUCCUGCUGUAUAGCAAGGGAACUAUAUCUACUCACUUACGAUGGAACAUGAUGGAGGAUAAUGUGAGAAAACGAAUGUAUAUAUAUGUGUGACUGGGUCACUGUGGUAUACAGUAGAUAUCGACAGAACACUGUAAAUCAACUAUAAUGGAAAACAUAAAAAUCAUUUUAAAAAUAAAUAAAUAAAUCACUUGCUUCCAACACACAUUGCAGGGUGAAAUGACAUCCCUCCUAAUAUUCACUUGCAGGAUUUGCAGAGGCCUGGUUUGGAAGUGAAGCCUCAGAAUGCCAGUUGAGAACUUUUUAACCCCAGCAAGAACAGAAAGAAGAACAGGGCUUUUUCAGCCUGUUUGUACCUCACUGUCAAAGUUCAAGCCUCAUGACAUUGUAGUAUAUUUCAUGAAAACUUCUGAGAGGCCAAACAGCCACACCCCUAAACAGAAGCCCUCCUGUUCCACCCACUGUAGCCUUUAAGUCCUCCCAUUCUUUUCCUACUUACUGGAUCAAGCAGUCAACUUGACUCCUUUCCCUUCAAACAUUGCACCACUUGUACAUUUAUAGAGAGACUUAAAAUGACAGUCUUGGGUGUGUAGUAAUCUGAACUACUUCGUGUCCAUUUAUCUCAAAUCAGCUUACUAGAAUGUAACUUUGAAUUUGGAAGAUGUAGUUUUUCUGCUGCUAUAAAAAUGCAAGUUCUUGAGCUAAAUUUCUUCAGGUUUCAGAGAAAAAGAAAAGAAUCACUUCUGGUAAUAGCCAGUCAAAUGCAGGGUUUGGCUCUCCCUGUCUCCUCUCCCUUUCUGCCCAGGGCCAGGAUAAUCUAAUUUCCAAUGUCUGGUUCCCAUGUUUCUCUGGUCCCAGUAGCCUCUGCUUGCUUGUUCAUUGCCCACAUGGACACAAGGUAUCCAUUGCUCUCCACUGUCCUCUACUGUUCUUAUCCAACCAUAAGGCCUCCUCCAUCCCCACAGUCCAGUCCUUUCAGGGGCCCAGAAAUUUACAUGCACCUCCUCUGCACCACUCUGGGGCCAUUGGAUGAGAUGGGUUGUCCUCAGCCCUCCCUGCCUUGGUCAACACUACACUAUCAUGCCAAUACCAGCUGUUCCAGGACCAGACAGAUCUUGAGGCUUAGAAGAGGUGAAAGUGUCCUGAAGCUACCAGAGAGUGAGCACAAAGUCUGCAGCUCUCAGAGUCCCCCAAAUUUAUACUUGCAAACACACCCACACACGGACUCACCCUUGGGAUUUGACCUCACUUCUCAGGAUCCCAGAAACACCUAAUUAAAUAGCUGACAAAUGUAACAGAUAAUUAUAGAUCUUAACAACAGAGAAACUAGGUAAAGGUAUGUAGAGAUUCUCUGUGCUAUCUUUGUAACUUUCUCUAAACCUAAAAUUAUACCAAAAUUUAAAGUUGACAUAGAAAGUAAUGAGAAGGGAGUGGUGGGUGGAGGUAUGGGAGGGACAAGAUUAACUGGGGACUGGUAGUUGUUGAGAUGGGGUGAUGAGACGGGAGGUUACUAUGCUACUCUGCCUAUUUUAGGUUGUAAGUUCUCCAUAAUU
rnacentral:lncRNA from 1 species